rnacentral:rRNA from 1 species
ACGCUCGACACCUACGGGAGCAGCAGUCGGGAAUAUUGCGCAAUGGAGGAAACUCUGACACAGUGACGCCGCGUAUAGGAAGAAGGUUUUCGGAUUGUAAACUAUUGUCGUUAGGGAAGAUACAAGACAGUACCUAAGGAGGAAGCACCGGCUAACUAUGUGCUAGCAGCCGCGGUAAUCUGAGCGGGCUGGCAAGGC